CGGCUCCCGGCCCUCGCGCACCUGAGUUCCGCUGGUGGCGCUGGGCUCUCAGGACGUCUAGGAGACAAGACGGUACAACUAGCAGGACACAUGGAAAAGAUAAAGCUGCCCUCCGAUCGCCUUUCAGGCACGCCAACACACACUCAUCCGUUUGAUCAAAGAUUUCAAAAUGUAAAGGGAUGCUCCUCUCUUUAAAAAAGAAAAGGUGAACAGAUGGGAGAAUUUUUUAAAUGCUUGAAGAAGGCCUUUCUACACUGUGGACAAAAAGGGGCCACAUGCUAACCUGACUAACGCAGGGAAGGACUGCCUGGCAAACUAAACUCAGACACCUAAAAGGAUGUCUGAAAUUAAAACUUUUUCCAUUAAAAAGCAGUUUAUAGCCCUA